ensembl:lncRNA
ACAACAUUUCUGCUAUACUGCAGGAUUGCUGUCCUUUUCCUUUGAGGGAAUCGUGGAAUCGUGGAAGAGGCAAGAAGAGACAAAAUUAUUUGAAGGAAUCUGCAGUUCGUGUGCCCUUACAAUUGUAUUUUACACACACAGUUCUCAGCAGCUUGGUCAGUGAAGUAGAGGACAGUAGAGGAGGAGGAUAGAGAGAAGCAGAGGAGGACAUACCAGAGGGAGAAAGAGAGAGGGAGCUCUGCAGCAGGAUCCCCACCGUGCUGAGCACAGGACUGCGUGACUGGUCUGUGCUGGGUGAGGGGGAGGGGAGGCAUAUCAGUGCAACACAGCCUUACUGGAUGAGAAGCAGCAGUAACACUAGCAGCAUCUCAUUUGUGGCUGCUGGGGGCUCGGUCUCACACACACAGGCGCUCCCAGCGCCACCGUCACACACACGCAGUGGCAGCCACAGCCGUCGUUAGAGCCUGGGCUGGGGCAGGGACGGGGACCGCUACUGUGACGACUGGAGCUACGGCGAUAGCAGCUGCUGCACCAUGGCACAAGCCGCCAAGCAGCUACGCAAGAACAAGGACCUAGCGGAGCUCGCAGCUCAGGAGCUGAAGGAUAAGGAGGAGGAGAAGAACAAGAAGAGGAAUCGAUCGAGGGACCGAAGACGCAAGAUGUUGCCGGUGUUGCGGUAAAAGAAAGUUGUGCAGAUUUGGUUCCCACUCCCACUAUUCUAUUUUCCCCUGGGUACAUCAAUGUAGCUACACCUGUUACAAUACGCUGUGAGUCACCAAAAGGCACAGAGUGCAAAUUCUACAAAGAUCACGACCCCAACCCUAUAAGGAAACUGGAUUACAAGCAGGGUGCUUGCCAGUUCAAGUUGCUCUGGAAUGAGUUCAAAAGGUGGAACAAGACUGAAGUAGAUCUCAGCUGUGUAAUUGUACAGAACAGAGAAGGUGAAACGAUCAAAACCUCAAAACCUAGUGAUGCUCGAAGACUUAAUGUGGGUGGUAAGUGGCAGUUUUACAGUACUCCAAAGCACAUGUUUACCAUAGUACACAUCCCACUUGUUAAUUGACUUCAUAAAUUACUUUCACAAUUUACAAACAGAUCCAAUUGGAAAUCCCAGUGUUCAUGUGUUUAAGAUGGGGAAAUACCUCAAUCUUCGAUGUGAGGCCAAGGCUGGCACCUCUUGCUACUUUUAUCUGAACAUUGGUGACUCACACUUUAAAAAACUACCCUACAAAGACAAUGGCUGUUUGGGGAGAGUGGCAGAAGAGGAACUGCAGAGGAAGAGGAGCAGUGCUGGAGAGAUCUUCAUCACCUGUGCUGUGGAGCUGGUGGUAGAGGGUGAAGAUACUGUGACAUCACAGCAUAGUGAACCCCUCGGUAUCACCAUAGAUGUCAUAAAUCCUCCAGGAGCUACUAAUUCCACAUCAGCGUUCAGUUUAAUCACACCUGGUCAGGAGAAGACAAGCAACAGUGCCACACCCCAAGGAAGUGGUACAAAGUUCCACGUCGUCAUCAGUCUGGGUACUUGUUCCCUUUUCCUGGUUCUGCUAGCUGGGUGUGUGCUGGGUGUUCUCCAACGCAAGUGUGGGGUUCAAGGCAGGCCUGUAAAUACUGGAAGCCCACCUGAACAGCAAGACCAAAACCCACCAUGUGUCUAUUCUGUCAUCACAAAGCCUUCUAGGGAUGAGGAAGAGGACACUAGUCUGCAAUACGCUACAGUGACAUAUACCGGUGUCCAAGCUAGUCGUCAAUAUGCAACAGUGACAUCUACCGGUAACCAAGUUGAACCUGGGCGCACCAAGAUCAAGUUUGAAAUAGCUGGAGAGUACGCCCUCUUAGCAGAAUCAUAGAAGAAGAAACAUUUACUGGAUAACAUGUUUUGCCAUAGUUUACAGUUACAAUCCUAUAUUUAGUUUUCAUAUUGGAUCAUAAUUUACUCAUAGUACAAAAACAAAUCCUGCCACAACAUCAAAGACUAAAGAUACUGUAUCUACUCCUUUCUGAAAACAAGCAUCUUCAACUAUUUGCAUUUUAGGUUAAAUGAAAUAAAUGAAAAGUACACUGUCUGAAACAUAAAAUAAAUGUUUUCCUUAAUUGAGUUACCGAAUCUAGUCAGCAGUCACCAAUCAGUAGUCACCAAUCUAUUUCACUCCUUGACAAGAGUCAAUAUAGACUCAAAGCCACAAGAGGGUAGAACACAUGUCAAACUUUGCUUGUUACAUCUCUACAUCUCUCUCUUUAACCAUGUCUGGUGUAUAUUAGUUUUCAGUGGUGGAAAAAGUACUCAACAAACAUACUUAAGUAAAAGUAAAGAUACCUUCAUAGAAAAUGACUCAAGUAAUAGUAAAAAUCACCCAGUAAAAUUCUACUUGUGUAAAAGGCUACAAGUAUUUGAUUUAAAAUAUACUUCAGUAUCAAAAGUGAAUGUAUAACUCAUUUCAAAUUCCUUAUCUUAAGCAAACCAGAAUGCACCAUUUUCUUUUUAUUCUUCUUUUUUAUAGAAGGCCAGGGGCUCCAUCACUCAGCCAUCAGUUACAAACAAAUCAUGUCAGUUUAGUGAGUCCGCCAGAUCAGAGACAGUAGGGAUGACAAGGGAUGUUUGGUUGAUAAGUGUGUGAAUUUGACUAUGUUUCUGUCCUGCUAAGCAUUUAAAAUGUAAUGAGUACUUUCAGGUGUCAAGGAAAAUAUAUGGAGUAAAAAUUACAAUGUUUUCUUAAGCAAUGUAGUGAACUAAAAGUAAAAGAAGACACUUGUGUAGGUGUGGAGGUUAAAUAUGUCUAAGAAUAUUUUUUCACAUUUUGUGUUAUGCUAAUGAGCUUGAGCCGUAGUCA